AAGGCCCUGCCGUGUUCGUGACCAACCGUUAAGUUUUGAGCUAACACAUAUUAAUUGGGAGACUGACUUUAAUUGUGGCGUAGAAGCCUCCUUUGAGAGGACCUAUAAAGCAAUUAAGAGGGCACCCACCUGUAGGGAGAAUAGUUCAAAACUGCGGCUCACGGCAUGGCGGGGUUUCG
rnacentral:other from 1 species